rnacentral:lncRNA from 1 species
CUUGUCAUGUUUCUUACUAACUUUCUUUCUAGCUCCUUGAUGAUUAACAUAAUUGAUGGAAUGAUUUCCUUGACUCCUCAUUCUGGUUUCCUCUUGAACUAACAUACUAUGCAAUUCAUGCACAUUCCAUUUAUCUUUCAUGGUGUUAUAGUUCAUUUGGAAAUGACCAUAUUCAGAGGGUAAUGAAUUUAGUAUAAAUUGCACAAGGAAGUUUUCAU